rnacentral:tRNA from 1 species
GACAAGCUUGGCCGAGUGGUUAAGGCGAUGGACUUGAAAUCCAUUGGGGUAACCUGCGUGAGUUCAAAUCUCACAGCUGUCG